rnacentral:rRNA from 1 species
GACUACUGGGGUAUCUAAUCCUGUUUGCUCCCCACGCUUUCGAGCCUCAGCGUCAGUUACAGACCAGAGAGUCGCCUUCGCCACUGGUGUUCCUCCAUAUAUCUACGCAUUUCACCGCUACACAUGGAAUUCCACUCUCCUCUUCUGCACUCAAGUUCCCCAGUUUCCAAUGACCUUCCACGGUUGAGCCGUGGGCUUUCACAUCAGACUUAAGGAACCGCCUGCGCUCGCUUUACGCCCAAUAAAUCCGGACAACGCUUGCCACCUACGUAUUACCGCGGCUGCUGGCACGUAGUUAGCCGUGGCUUUCUGGUCAGAUACCGUCAAGGCUGGAGCAGUUACUCUCCAACUUGUUCUUCUCUGACAACAGAGUUUUACGAUCCGAAAACCUUCUUCACUCACGCGGCGUUGCUCCGUCAGACUUUCGUCCAUUGCGGAAGAUUCCCUACUGCAGCCCCCCGUAGG